UGGGAACGAGAAGACGCUCGUGGAGGCGUC
rnacentral:piRNA from 1 species